rnacentral:lncRNA from 1 species
CCCAAUCACCGCUACCCUUUCCGAUUGAUCUGAGUCCCAUAACGCAUGUCAAGGCUCUGCCCGACUAAGUUCGUUUGGAUUCUAUCUCGGGACUUCGGGACAAGGUUGAAUUAGGGGUAUUAUACUUAACACAAGUAUAUUAUAUAUUUUUAGCCCAAAAGUUAUACCCAAAAUUUAUACCAGGAGUCCUUCUAGUUGAACCCUAAAAUUUCACAGUGGGUCCAUUCCUUUUUCUCACCAUUUUAUUCUCUUUUUGUAAGUUACCCAAAAUUAUUAUUUAUUAUUUAUUAUUUCUAUUUUAUAAACAAACUUUCAUCAAAAGUCAUGCCUAUUAUUUUAUUUACCCAAUAGGGAACCAUAGUUGAGACACCCAAGUAAUCCUGCACAACUCCUAAAAUUUUCAUAGCAAUCAGAAUCAGGAUCAGGGCCCCUAAAACUCAAGGGGGGCAAAACCUAGUUGACGAUUAUCUUCAUAACUCAUUAUAAAAUUCGAAAUUUACAAAACCGUCGACACAGCAAGCCUACAUGCACGAAGGGCUACUCUAUGAAAAUAGGGUGGUCACUCGCGUAGCGCGACGCCUAAGGGGGUACCCCCUCGCGCUACGCGACGGUGUCAAAAUUUCAGUAUAAAUAGCAGGGGUUGGGAUUUGAAUUUUGGCACUUGAACGACGAAAAUCGGAGUUACGUAGGUCGAGUUAUAAGCAAAACAGUCCAACACACACACACAAUUAUCGAAUCGCUGCCGCAAAACAGGGUAAUUAGUCGAUUGCUAUUACGAUUCAGUUUCCGGGAUCAAUAUACCCAAAGAAUGUCUAAGUGCCGCCCACAUUGGGCUAUGCUUUAUCGUUGUCGAUAAUUCGAUAAUGAGCCGAAGCAUUGUACUUUGUCGUUGUCGAUAAUUCGAUAUACGAGUUGAAGUACUAUACUUUGUCGUUUGUCAUUUUGAUAAAUGAGCUGAAGUAUUGCACUUGGACAUUCAUUGUAAAAAUUGAUCUCGGGGAAUUAUCGUAACUGCUGUAUUGAUCAUUAACCUGCCAAUGUUACGUAGGUCGAGUUAUAAGCAAAACAGUCCAACACACACACACAAUUAUCGAAUCGCUGCCGCAAAACAGGGUAAUUAGUCG